UUGGCACUAUGCUGUUGGACCUCCCAGCCUCCAGAACUAUCUUGAAGGACAAGAGAAUUUACAGAGGGCUCAAUCUGGAGAAUGACUUUGAAGAGUGAGGUGUCAGUACAGUCCAGAGUGAAGAAGGAACUCUGCUGAGCAAUCACAGGCCAUCAGCCAACUCCAGGACAGUGGAGGGCUUGGGCAUGAAGAGGACUAAGUGUCAAAACAGAGAAGACAUAGGCAGCCUAGAAUGGUGAUUCAGAAGAUGGCAAGGUGCUGCCUCUGCUGGUUUGGAGUUUUGGCCCCAAYCUGUCCUCCUGGUAUGAUCUGUGCGACUAACUUAACCUCUCUGAGCCUUUGUUUUCUUAUCUGCAAAUUGGAAAGCGCAAGUAUCUUCCUUCUAAGGUAAUUAGGAGAAUUAAAGUGAUAACUCAGAAAGUCUGGUAAGUGCUUAAUAUAUUUGAGCAAUUAUUUUUAUGAGCUCUUAUUCUUUCAACUCUUUUUAAGGGGAAAUAAUUUCCAUAUCCUUUCUUACUCCUCAGGAUUAUUGGGAGGCAAAAAUACACAAUUCUGUAAGUGAAAAACACUUUGUAAGCCAUGCCCCACUUUACAGAGAUCAGGGAUGGUGAUCAUGAUUCUUCUGAAUCCCCCAUAAUACCUCACACUAUGCUGGGUGUGUGAGAAGUGCCCCGUGAGCCCCAUUCACCAAUGACACUGGGACAGCUUACGUCCUGGAAAAGAAAACCAUACUGGCCCCAAUCAAUAACUAAAUUCCUUCUAAGACAUGACCCUUCCCAUGGCUGUCCAGAGGCAGAGCAGGGUCUUGGUUCUAUUUCAAAGCCCUCCUUCUUCUUUUCUUUCUUUCCUCCCAGGCUCCCAGAAACCUUGCCAGCAGUGAAAGCACAACCAUAUUGCUGGAGCUGAAAUCUGCAGCCUGUCCUUCAGAUGGUUUCUGCAGAUGGGCUGUUACUGCGCUGAAAGCAUUGAACUCUGCAAGUGGAUUGCACACCCAGCUCCUCUGAACCACUGAUAGGUGGCAGCUCAGUCUCUUCCCCCUAAUGCUCUGCUCGCUCUCUCUCUCUCUCUCCCUCUCUCUGACUUUUUGUUUGUUGACAGCAGUUGGGAACAUACCUAGCUGGGCACAAUUCUCUUCUAGGGAGAAGCAGCCCUCACUUACACGCAGGGGGGAGAUGAGAUUGCUGUUCAAAAGUACCAGCCUUUCUCUGAAGUGGUGUCACAUCCAGACAGAAAAAUAAAUGUGCUCUGCCCUCAUGGAUGAUGAGACGUCAUCUUUCAGACAGACUUUUGACACGGGGGGAUCAAGGUAUGAUUGCCUUUGACUCUUCUCUGCAGAGAAAACAGCACCUAAUUGGACCAAGAGAAAAAAGAGUCAGCUGCUUCUUUCAUGAUUAUUUAAACACCCCUGCACAGUCAAAAAUGCUUCAUUGUUUCAUUACAAGUGAAAUCUGAUUGCCAUUACAUUUUCUACUGGCCUCCCCUCUAUGCAAAUUGGAGAGAAAAAAAGAAAUUUAUAAGUCACUGGAACUCAUUUGCUUUUCUAAAGAUAUUAUUUGCAUGUAGACAUCAGCAGCCUGAAAAAAUCCUAACAAGGAAUGUCAAACUGACAGCCUUGUUUUCCUAUUGUUCUCUCUGAAAACAUCAUUUUGAACAUCACAUCCACAAAGGCGAGUGGGAUUCUGCCUUAUCUUGUCUCAGGAAGCGGCGUCAUGGUUAAUUGUAGGCAUUGGACAUUAAUGAAAAUCAUUUCUGGGAAAGUCCAGUUUUUA